GGGUGGUCGUCGCAGGGGCCGUGUGGCUUUUUCUGUCCCCGCCUUUUUUUCCCCGUUUCUCUUCACCCUCAGGCGGCAGCGCUGUUUUUCCGCGGGCAGGGGCUCUGCAUGAGGGCAGCUGCCCCUGGCGCACCAGACUGCUUUGGGCGAGAAGGUGUGAAGUCCUCUUAAUCAUGUAGAGGCAGCACUGCACAAUGUCAUACCCAUAUCCCUGGUGAUAACACUGAGUACUGAGGUGUCGACAUCAACACAAAGCAGCAGCACAAACUCAGGUUUCCAGGUGCAAUGUCGAAAAGCCAAAGCUUCUGCGAUGCUGGGGACAGAGCCAGCUCGGGGUUGCAGCCAGGAGAGCUGGAGACACGCGCAUCUGGAGCUGGAAGAAGAGAGCUUGCAGUGAAAUAAAGCUUCUGGGCCAAGAGCUGAAAUCACUGGGGCAGGGAAAGGCAUUCUAGGGCUGGAGCUGAAAUCACUGUAGGGCUGGACUAUUGACUGUGGGCCAGGGUCAGAGACUCUAGGGGGUGAGCUGAAAUCACUGUGGGGCUGGCAUAUUGACUCGGGGGUGGGCUCAGAGACUGUAGGGGGAGAGCUGAAAUGUUGCAGAGCUGGAGCCAAGAGGAAGAUCCUGAUCCUUGGACCAGGAGAAGUUGCAGACAACAGAGUUGGAGCAAUGCAUCUGGAGCUGAAGGAACAGAGCUGGCCGUGAAAUAAAGCUUGUGGAUAAAGAGCUGAAAUGACUGGGGCAGAGAAGGGGACUCUAGGGCUGGUGCUAUAAUCCCUGUGGGGCUGGGAUAGAGACUGAACAUGGGAUUGACACUGCUGAGUGAGAUAAAUACUGCAGGAUUCAUGUGCUGAAAUAACUGUAGGUUGGUCAUAUUGGUGUUGG